rnacentral:rRNA from 1 species
GAUGAACGCUGGCGGCGUGCCUAAUACAUGCAAGUCGAGCGAACAGACGAGGAGCUUGCUCCUCUGACGUUAGCGGCGGACGGGUGAGUAACACGUGGAUAACCUACCUAUAAGACUGGGAUAACUUCGGGAAACCGGAGCUAAUACCGGAUAACAUGUUUAACCGCAUGGUUCAACAGUGAAAGACGGUCUUGCUGUCACUUAUAGAUGGAUCCGCGCCGCAUUAGCUAGUUGGUAAGGUAACGGCUUACCAAGGCAACGAUGCGUAGCCGACCUGAGAGGGUGAUCGGCCACACUGGAACUGAGACACGGUCCAGACUCCUACGGGAGGCAGCAGUAGGGAAUCUUCCGCAAUGGGCGAAAGCCUGACGGAGCAACGCCGCGUGAGUGAUGAAGGUCUUCGGAUCGUAAAACUCUGUUAUUAGGGAAGAACAAAUGUGUAAGUAACUAUGCACGUCUUGACGGUACCUAAUCAGAAAGCCACGGCUAACUACGUG